UGUAAACUAUAAUUUCCCUACUGAUCCUAUAGAACGCUACAUCUUAUUUUUUCUUUCAAAUUGUAUACUUGUACCCAUUAGUCAACCUUUCUUCAUCCCCUUUGAUUAUUUUUCAGAAUUUCAUUUUGAUUUAUUUAUAGUGUUCCAAGUACAUUGUUUCUUCUGGUUUUUGUAGUGGUUGCUCUAGGCAUUACAAUAUAUACACUAACCACAGUAAACUAGUAUUGCUGUUUAACCACUCUGAAGUGUGGAAAACUUACUUCCAUUUUGAUACCGUUAGCUUCCCUACUCUGAAAGUAUAGUUGUCCUAAGUAUUCCUCUGCAUACACAGAGCACUACAUCACAUGAUGUUAUAAUUUUUGCUUCAACCAUCAAGUACGAUUUAGUAACUCAUAAGCAGAAAGUCUAUUUACCCCUGCUUUCACCCAUUCUGUUGUCCUUUCCUUCCUGAAGUUCCAAACCUUCUGUCAUUAUUUUAUUUCUGUUUGGAGAACCUCCGGUAGUAAUUCUUUGAGGAUAGGUCUGUUAGGGACCCACUCUUUUAGUUUUUCUUUAUCUGAGAAUGUCUUAUUUUCCCUUCAUUCUUAAAGGAUACAUAUGAGGGAUAUAGAAUUUAUAGUUGACGGUUCUUUUCUUUUAGCACUUGCAAAAUGUUGCGCCCCUUCCUGCUAGCCUCCAUGGUUUCAGAUGAGCAAUGUGCUGUCAUUUGGACUGGUGUUCCCCUAUAGGGAAAGAGAAACAAAAUCCAUGGUGGAUCAAGCUGAUGAAAAACAGCUAAUGUGUCCUGAAAUCAGUUGGCUGAACCAGUGAGGUUCAUCACCCUUUUCUUGGGUUAUAUUUGCUCAUAAUGUGAAGUUAGUUUGAGAUUUUGAAAGCAGUUUGGAAGAAUCACUCAUGGUCACAGUCUAUUUGCAAACCUAUCAACGCUGGAGAUUUGAUGCUGUCACUGAGGUACACACUGCUCAAAGCAACACAGAAAUUCUGGCAGGGUCUACGCAUGGCAGGGGCUGGAAGGGACCUGCCCAGAUUCCAUGAGAACACGCAGAUCAGGGCAGCUCUCUGUGGAGGCAUCCUGCGGCACCAGAGUAUUUAGGAGAGAUACAAAACCCCAUUAAUUUUACAAGCAUGGCAAGAGCACAGCCUCAGCAGCGGCAGCGUCAUCAUUUGGUUGACAGAAAGCACAUGUUUUUGCACACAUGGACUUCAAAAUAGCCACAUCAAAACAAAAAUGUGUUUCCAACAGCCCAGCAUGUGGCAUGGACUGAAGUUUUAAUUGGUAAGCAUAUGGUGAAAACCAGCAAGGGCCCCUCCUGGCGGCUUCAUUACAGACAGGGACAUGGGGUCAGUUGGCUGCCAUAAGCCUGUGUCUACUCACCACCCCAGGGAUCUGGGCAAAGUAGGGAGGCUCUGUGAUUGAUGGCUAUUUGACUUCAGCCUGCGGGUGUGCACUGCCAUGUUCCAUUCCACUGAACAUGCAGGACUCUACCCAAGCAGCGGCUCUGGCCCUGAUUAGGCUGCCUGGGCAGGUGUGCUAACAGACACGCGAGCUCUGGAAAAGCCACACUCUUGUGGGGGAGGAGUACAAUUUCAUCCCAAUACACUAGGGCCUAACUUCUUGGAAUCAGGUAUUUCAAUUUGUGAUUUCAACCACUGGGGUGGUAUCUUUUUUUCAUGACUGCUGGGGAGGUAGUAAUCGGCAAAGUCAUCUCCUGCCCAGAAUACAUGACUCAGUGUCUACAAGGUCUGAUUGCAAAUCUGAGGCCAUCCUAAUGAUGAACAAAUUAAAUAACUGUCACACACAUUCAAGUCAAGCAAAACUGCCAGGGUCCACGGCAGAGCCCUUCUCUAGCUGUCUUAAUCAAACACAGGAAAGUUGUCUGAGGGCCAAGACCUUGCCUUCCUCUCCUGCUGGAGGGCCCCAGCGUGGUCCUGGGGCCAGCGUCUGCUCACAGCAUUCUUACUGAUACUCAGGAAGCACCCAGGACAGCCCUGAGACUCCACACCGAACUCCAGAACAUUUCUCCUCCCCUUUCCCAUUAUCUUUCAGCAGGAUUUCCCUCACUCAUACUUCUCUCCGUGCACACACACACACACACACACACACACACACACACACACACACAGUUCCUUCUGAGUGUCUCUAAGCCAGGUCUGCUGCCCUCUGGGAAAAUGCAGGAAAACGUCUCAUUUAUACCCACCAAGUCCCGAGGAAACGGGAGAAACCAUAUAAUCCUGUAGGAAAAGUCCUAAAGGGAGCUAUGACCUUUGGCAACAACUAGGGAGAAAAGGUGCUUGUUUCCCUCCUAGGAAUGUUUACAACUUCUCACUGUUACCAGUCCCAGAAUUUAAUGAGCCUUUCUCUGGCCUGAAAAUGUGGUGUUGGUGGUGAAAGACAGACACAGCGACCCAUGAGACUGACCUAGCUCUGUCACAGAGGCUAGAGAGAAGCAGAUUAGAGAGGAUCCUGAACAACCUGCCGUGAUAUCCGUGUGGCAAAAGUGAGUGAGCUCUGCCACCAGUGGGCACAGGGAAACCCCCACCUCUCAACUGCCAGCAGACACAAUAACGAAAAUACUUUUGUAAGAGUGAUGGAUGUGUAAGAUAAAAUGCACGGUGCCCUGGGAAGGCAUGGCAAGGGUCUUUGGCAAGGCCUGGAACGUAAGUCUCUGUGGCAAAAUGAUGUUUGAGUCUCAAGGGGUAAAAAUGAGUUAAAAGGGGGGAAAUGCUGAGAAUGCCCUGGGCAGAGGGAAGUGCACAUGCAGGCACCCAGAGCCCACUGCGUGCCGGAGGGAAUGAAAGCUGCGUGGCCUGGCAGGAGGAGUGAGAGGAGGUUUGGGUGGUUGUCAGGGGCCAGGGCAACCAGCGCUGUGUGUUGAUGGAGGGAUCUGGGACUUUACUCUAAGGACAGUGAUGUCUGCUCUGUGUUUCAUUUUGUCUGAGGUGAGCCCUGUCUCCACCUGCAUCACAGGCAAGCAAGGCUUUCUGCUGGGAACAGCUUGGGUGUGCCUGCGAGCUGUGGAGUGAGGCCCCUAGUCAGUGUGGAAUCAAGAGUCCACGAAGCAAACCUUAGAGAGAGAGACAGAGGAGGAAGAGGUGAACACCAAUCAGUGGAGCUCAAGAGAAAAAGAAAAUAAAAACACAGCACCACUGGAAGAACACAUGGGUCGCAAAAUGAGGAGAGAAAUGAGGAACGAGCCGGCCUGAGGACUUCGGCCAGCUGGUCCCUGUAUGAAGUCCGCCAGGGCAGACCAUCACUCACACAAUCUUGUUUUCUUUGUCCCUCCCAAAUCCCAACACCAACUCCUCAUCUGGUCCCCAAAACCUCACUGGACAUCAGGUCCUGCUUGCCUAAGUGCAGUAAAAAUCAAACUUACUACAUAUUGAGCACCUUCUACACCCAGAUGCUGUACCAGGAAUCAUAUUACAUCAUCCUCUUUGGUUCCCACACCUACAAUAUAAAGUGAAGAUUGAUGUCCCCAUGUGAGAAAUAAGGAAACAUGUUCAGAGAGGUUAAGCAACUUGCCCAGAGCUACACAGUAGGCUGGCUACUCUCUGACUGUUUGAUCCAUGCUCUGUUCUGCUCUGUGCCUGAGGAUGCUGACUCCCGCACAGAACACCAGCUGUAUUUGCUCUCCCUCUCCCUGGCUCAGCCCCUGGAAGUUCUAGCAAAGGUAGGAAGAAGGAAACUGGGAUAUUAACACCCCUGCUUCCUUCACGUAGGGCCUUAGUUUGGCAGAGGUUGUCAGGCCACUGUUUCUGUCCCUUGGUCUCUCUCCUCUGGCCACAACUCUUACCAAGUCCUAGUCAUUCACCAAGUUUCUUCAGGCCUGAAGGUGGGAACAGUGUCCCACGACCGCUAGUCUCUGGGUGAAGCAUCACCACAUUUUGAUGGUCCCAUGACCUCCCUAUACCUCUGUAAACAGUCCCUUCACUGAAUAUAUUCAGCAACCCUCUGACCAACAGGACCUCACUGCUAAGCAGAGCUCAUGCUAGCAGAGCUUGCAUUUGAACCUGGAUUGGCUGGACUGCAAAGCUCGGGCUGUUAAUCACAGGGCUAUACUGUGUGGUGGGUGACUUAAGCAAUCAAGAAGUACAUAAUCAUUCCUGGAAUUAAGCGUGUACGCACACGUGCACACACACACGCGCACACACACACAGUGGGCAGGAAUGUUUCAAUGUUGCUUUCAUCCACGUCCCUGACAGCCGAGUUCAGAGUGUCCAAUUAGAAUUUCUGGUUAUGCAAUUUUUCUUUGAAGUGAUAAAUUGGUGGUAGAAAGUUCUGAACUUGAUACAUCUCUGGGUGGCUUCAGUUGAUUUCAAUCUGUGGUAGUGUCUAGAUGACUCUGCCAGGACUUGGCUUUCUGGCAGGUCUUAUGAAACCAAGGGCUGGGCCAGCCAGUUCUAUAAUAGUUGCUCCAAACUGUGUAGAUUCCAGGGACCUCCCCAGCUCAGAGCUAAUAACUAACACGAUUGACUACAGACGUGUGUUUUAAUCACAGAAAUCUGAAAAAGGUCCCAAGAGAAAAAAGCUUACAACUUUCAAAAUCUUUUAGACUUUGCCUUUGGUGUUAGACCAGUUCUUCCUAGGUUGUUCACUUGGAUUCACUCUAGAGCAAGGUUUCUCAGCCUGGGUACCUGGGUAUUCUAGGUUGAAUAAUUCCUUCUUCUGGGAGACUGUCUCAUGAGCUGCAGGAUGUUUAGCAGAAUCCCUGGUUUCUACUCACUAGAGGCUUCAGCACCAACCUUCCACUUCUCCUCUGCUAUUGUGGCAACUGAAAAUGUCUCCAGACACUGCCAAAUGUCCCCCAGGAGAGCAAACUCACCCCUGGUUGAGAAUCACUGCUCUACAGGAAUAGUUGCAUGAGGAUGGGCACAAACUCAGCUUCACAAAAGAAAUUCUACUCAAGCCUCACAAAAGAGACAGCUUAUCACUUGCAAAAUACUGAUUCAAUAGCCUAAUUUUUAUGCCUUAAAAGUUAAGCCAUGCUUUGUCCUCAAGUUUCAGAGUUUGAUUUUCCAGAGGUUCAGACCUAAGCCCCACUGAAGAUGACUUCAGAGAUGGCUUAGGCCUGAACCUGCUUGACCCGAACAAUUUUGACCAUGUAUAGUCAAAAUUACCUUCAAAAGUCCCUUUGGACAGUGCUACCUUAUAGAUCCCAUAACUUCUCCAUGGUUUUGACAAUCACGGUUUUAAUUUAGCGUCAGUGGAACUCCUUAAGUGCUGGGAUUGCAUUCAUGGGCUGUGUUACCCCCAAAUACAAAUCUGUAAACUCUAAACUCACAUUUGAAGCAGCAAAUUGUUCAUACGACAAGGGGCACGUUGGAAUCAGGAAUGGUUCAAGGAAAAGAAGAAAAGAUCUAUGCUCCUUGUGGUCAUGCUCCCUCAGGGACAUGCACUUAAUAUGAAUGUUAGACAGGAUUAAAAGCGCUAUUUAAAUUAGAAUUUCCACUUCCCACUCUUGCCCCUCAGAUUACGCUUCUGAUUAAGUUCACUUGCUUAAAUAUGUAUAUAAUGCUACUGUAGUAUCAUACAGGAUAAAAAAGAAGCAAUUUCAGGUUCAAUUAUUCUCAUAUUGAUAACAUAUAGGGUGACUAUUCUAUUAGAGUCAGAUCCUCAGAAAGAAAUGGCCCAGAUAUGUCAACUCUCUGUAAAAGUUUCCUCUCUAUUAAUUAUACCAACAUCAUUUAUUCAGUCCUUAUGGAGUGGCCUGCAUAGUCAAAGAUGUGUCCUCCACCCAUGGCUCAUGUAAUAAAUUUCUUCCUGGGUAGAGAG
rnacentral:lncRNA from 1 species